AGUGCAAUCGGUAAGGUCUCUCCAACUCAGACACCCCUCUCUCCCAUUCUUUGCUGCAUAGGAGGGAAUGGAGGGAAGCCUGAUGGUGGAGAGUCAGGGUGAACGCAGAGAGACAUGGAGGAGACAGAGCACAAUGAGAUGGGUUAGACGCGGUAGGGAUGGUGGCUGGAGGGUCGAGGGUGUGCAGACUCGGAAAAUAGUCUGCUGACAAAGUGAUGCUGGCUCUGCAGCGGAGGAUCUUGGAGGGCCGAGGGCACAGCAUGGGGAAGGGACUUGAUUCAGCCCAGCAUAGAUUUCUCUCAAACUAGACAACCAGGUGCAACUUGUUUCAGAACCAGCCCGAGCUCUCUCUGCCUGGUCUCCAGGGAUCCCCACAGGAUAUGGGUGUGCUGAGGGAAGUGAGGAUGGAGAAAAGGAGAUGAGAGCAGUCAGAACUCUUUUAGAAGCAGUUGCCUCAGUGUCGUUAUUCCGUUGAGGUCAGGGCUGCUCCAAGGGGGCACCACACCUGAAGCCCCCUGCGUGCUGGUGAGUGGCCAGCGGCAAGACAGCCCGAGGCAAAGAGGGGCUGAGGGACUGAGGGUUGGAGGUGGAGCUAGGCAGAGGCUCAAGGAUAUGGCUGAGCACCCAGUGUCAGUGGAGCAUCUGACCCCAAGGCCUUCUGUGCUGGGGGGCCUGGGAAGUGGGAGGGAAUGGCAGGGUGUGUGUGAAAGCACCUGGAGACACUUCAAAGCCCUUGCUGUACAAACGUAAGAAGAAAAUGAUUACUGUCACCUUCGUGGCUGUCAUUACCGAUCUUGGCCUCCUGAGCCCUGUCUCUCUGUCGAGCUGGUUGGCCCCGCCCCACCAGGCAAGACGCAGAAGGCGGCAGCCCCGACGUCUGGCAGUUUGCUUUCUGGGGUUUAUUACAAAACUUUGGGCCAGAAAUUCCUCCCUUCAUGGAUCAAGCAACGGAGCUCGUCCUACUGAAGCUGGGGCUUUGGAAUCAUAGGACUUCGGUUUGAAUCCCAGAUCACCCAGUUUUUAGCUGAGGGGUUUGAGACAGUGUCUUUACAGUUGGAGACUCAUUCCCUCAUCCGUAAAAUGGAGACCAAAAUACUACCUUCCUCCUAAAGCUUGUGAGGAUUAAAUGAGAUCACCCGUGUGAAGAGCUUAGCAUGGAACCUGGUUCAUAAGGAGUUGUUACUACUAUCAAUAUUACUAUUAUCAUUAUUAGUUCCUGGCAGAACCAGACCUAGAAUCCAGGCCCUCUUACUCUAGGGAGGCUGAGUCACUUGGGCAAUGACUCAGCCACACCCACCAUGAACUCUCAAUGACUCGAGGAGAAGAAUGGCAUGGAUAAUCUAGAAAAAAUGGACAGUGGGAAAGAACUCCAGUGCUCUCAUGGAGUGCACGGAUCAUGAUUUGCUGCACUGGGGGAGCCGCUGGAUGGAUUCAUUCAUUAUAGUCUCGUCUCUGGCUGAUACUAAAUCUACUUGUUCCUGAGAGCACCUGCGGCCAUCAUGACAGGCUCAGUAUCACAGGGCCUAGUGAAAGAAACUCCCUCUGGCCAAGGACAACAGAAUAAAAACGUAACUGAGUCCCAGAUAUGCUAGUGUUUUCCACCAUUGCAUCUCUAAGAUAUCAACAGGACCUGGAAAGAUGAGAGUGAGUUCACUGUCCCCCCAUGGGCUGAGGUUGCUGGAAUGCUGGAACAGAGAGAAACUGGGAGGUUUUAGAAUGCUCUGGCUUCAGAAUGAAGGGAGCAGAGUGACGAGUGCUGCAAGCUGCAUGGAGCGGCCAAUUGAAAAAGCUAUCGAAGUCAGAACAGCACUGGAAGCGUUGACCCUGAAGAUGCAUGCCUGGAGAGAGGAUUUUUUUCUCUUUUUUUGCACUUUUUAUUGCAGUAAUGCAGGGACAUUCUGUGAGUAGAAUCCAGGGGGCCAUCAAGCCUGCGUUCAGGUGGCUGUGCGGGAAGGGGUUUUGAUCCUGUUCUGAGAAAGCUGUCUUGGGGCCCAGGCAGAGAGCACAUUACUGUGUUAGAGCCUUGAGUGGUUAAGAGAAAGUUCUUGGUUGAAUUGGGAAAGGGACCUGUAAAUAGCUGUAAAAUCCUGAACUAGCCGUGCCUCCUUCUGUGCUAGAUGCAGUCCUGGAGGCAGAGGCGCAGGCGACUCGAGGUCAAACCACUUCUGCUGCUAACUUGGGCAAAUCACACCACCUCUCUGCACCUGUCGGUGAGAGGCUUGGCCUAAAUGGUAUGUCAGCCUCUCCUAGUCUCAGUUGUCUCCCAUUUGUGGAUGCCAUUUCAGGGAUAGAGAAAUCGGAGACUAUUGAUAAAGACUGCAAAAGUGCAGAUUUGCUCAUAACAUGGAAACUCUCAGAGAGCUAGUCCCUACCAGGGAAGGAUGGAGUGGUCUGCCCUGGGCGCUAGGAAUAAGGAAGAGCAUUGUUGAUGGAGAAUUUUAAAACAAUAAUGAAACCAAGGAAAAGUCAGUCUGCUUUUUAGGAUCACCACGCAUGGACAAUUCUAAGCAAUGUCAGGAAUAAAAUACUCCUCCUCACCUGGGUGGACCACUCCCACCAUCCCCCUCCUUGGUUUGCCACUGUUUACCUGAACAAUUCUCUUUUUAUUCAGUGCUCUUUCAAUUCCUCUGACUACAAAGGGGGAGAAAUUCGCUAUGGUGUUAACUCUUUCAUUACCACCCCUUAGUGUUGAUUUGUCUCCAGUAAAGAAGAGUGAUGAGUUACUUUGAGACACAGCAGUGGACCGGAGUGCAACCAAGGAAGCAGGAACAAUAAAAAUGGAGAGAAAAGAAGAUGGAGUGAGGUGUGGAAUGUGUUGAGUAGUGGCUUAGAAAGUGAAGCCCUGAACACAUGGUCUAUGGCCAGGAUGGGGACAGCUCCCCGAAGGCCCAGGUCAGGCUGGACAUGUGGUGCCUAAGAACAGACUGCAGCUGCAUCUCCCUUCUGCUUUCUCAGAUCCCUGGCACUCUGGAGCUUUCCUUUGCGGCACUGUAGAUGCAUUUCUUAGAAGUGAUCUGCUCUGCACUCCUCAUGUCACACCACCCACCAUCCUCCUUUGGGUUGGAUUUCCUUCUCACUGUGUCCCAGUGUCUAGAAUAUGAAGGGACUUUGCCACCCCUCUGGGGACUUGCAUAUCCUGCAUUGAUGCCUCUCUUCUGUAGGCUUGGUCCCCUUGGUGCCCAACCUCCUGCUUGAUGGUGUUGCUUUGGGGUGUGUUCACAUUCUCCAAGGAGCCCUUCCCGAAAGCAGUAAAAAUAACCUGUGAUGAGGAAACUCUCAGGAACAAGCAUAUUCGGAGACUGUUUUACCUAUCUGGAAUCUUGGCAGUGAGAGAGGUUGUCAAAAGGGAGAGAAAUGGAUGAGUAUCCUUGAGCACGAGCUCAGCACUGACUUCCUUAAUUGUCUAGUCUCCUGGGAAAGAGAGAGAGAGAGAGUGAAAGGGCAAGACAGAGCGAGAGAGAGGGAAAAGAAGAGGAGGAAGAAGAAGGAGGAGGAGGAGAAGAAGAAGAAAAGAGGAGGAGGAGAGAAAAAAGAAAAGCAGAGAAGAGAGAAGAUUGACCAGAACUCUAGCACUGUGGCAUCAGAAUGGAAGUCCCUGACUGUCCAAUCCUAAGCAGUCCUCCUUUUGGUGUUAAGAAGAGGGAAGGUGGACAAAGGGGCAGGCAACAUUACCCAGUACCCAGCAGAGUUAUUCAGGAAAUCAUACUUCUGGAAGUGGAAGCUGAGAGAAGAGUCUCUGACCCUACUUAGAGCUUCAGCCUCAUCUGUCACCACAUCUCACUCUCCGUUUAUUUGAUAAACAUGUAUGGAGCUCCUUUUACGGGACAAGCAUUUUGUCAAGCACCAGAGAACAGUUGAUAUACAGCCUCUGUCUUUACGCAGCUUAUAGUCUA
rnacentral:lncRNA from 1 species